rnacentral:rRNA from 1 species
GACGAACGCUGGCGGCGUGCUUAACACAUGCAAGUCGAACGAAGUGUCGACCGGGUGAGUAACGCGUAAUCAACCUGCCCUUGAGAGGGGGACAACAGUUGGAAACGACUGCUAAUACCGCAUACUUAAGGAGGGGUUUGCGUCGUAUUAGCUAGUUGGAGGGGUAACGGCCUACCACGGCGAUGAUCAGUAGCGGGUAUGAGAGGAUGAACGGACAAAUUGGGAAGGAGACACGGCCCAGACGCCUACGGGAGGCGGCAGUGGGGAAUCUUCCGCAAUGGACGAAAGUCUGACGGAGCAACGCGGCGUGAGUGAUGACGGCCUUCGGGUUGUAAAGCUAUGUUAAUCGGGACGCGGUACCGGAAUAGAAAGCCACGGCUAACUACGUGCCAGCAGCCGCGGUAAUAC